CAAUAGCGUAUAUUAAAGUUGUUGCGGUUAAAAAGCUCGUAGUUGGAUUUCUGCUGAGAACGACCGGUCCGCCCUUUGGGUGUGUAUCUGGCUCUUUCUUGGCAUCUUCUUGGUGAACGUUGCUGCACUUGACUGUGUGGAGCGCUACCCAGGACUUUUACUUUGAGGAAAUUAGAGUGUUUCAAGCAGGCAUACGCCUUGAAUACAUUAGCAUGGAAUAAUAAGAUAGGACCUCGGUUCUAUUUUGUUGGUUUCUAGAGCUGAGGUAAUGAUUAAUAGGGAUAGUUGGGGGCAUUCGUAUUUAACUGUCAGAGCUGAAAUUCUUGGAUUUGUUAAAGACGGACUACUGCGAAAGCAUUUGCCAAGGAUGUUUUCAUUG
rnacentral:rRNA from 1 species